rnacentral:rRNA from 1 species
UACGUAGGGUGCAAGCGUUGUCCGGAUUCAUUGGGCGUAAAGAGCGUGUAGGCGGUCAGGUAGGUCGGUUGUGAAAACUGGAGGCUCAACCUUCAGAGGUCGACCGAAACCCCCUGGCUAGAGUCCGGGAGAGGAGAGUGGAAUUCCUGGUGUAGCGGUGAAAUGCGCAGAUAUCAGGAAGAACACCCGUGGCGAAAGCGGCUCUCUGGAACGGUACUGACGCUGAGACGCGAAAGCGUGGGGAGCGAACAGG